CUUGAGAAAAGCAAGAGUGUCAGGACACGAAGGGGCGGAUGGAGACAUGCGUUGAACCGAAGGGAUGAUUGUUUCCUGGAUCAGCUGUGAAGAAACUUCAUCAAUCAACUGCACUUCCAUUUGCCUCGAUUGCGUCAAGACUUCAAUGACUUGAUUAUUAAAGCCACACCGGGGCUACGGCACAGAGCAAGGCCUGGCUUUGAGCCACAGACUCCCUGAGUGUGGGCUUGCGCUCGAGGCUUCUGGCCACGGGCGACCUAUCAGUCAGAUGUCAUGCUGUAACAAGAUCCCUUGGGCCGCUUGGCAGCACUAUUCCUUGGGGAUUGAGAUGUAUUUCAGCUAUAAAGACGACAACAAAUGCAUAAAACCCAAUUAACAGACAGAACCAACAGGAAACAAGAACA